UGUGUGCUAGGCAACAGGCUUUCUCUCUCCCUUUUCUCAGAUACAGUGCAGAGAAUAAGUUGCUUUUAUUGUUAUUGUUUUGUUACUGUUUUAUAUGCAGGUUAAACACUUUAAGAUGAGAAAAGUUGAUCUCUGUCUGAGUUCUGAAGGGGCUGAAGUGAUCUUAGCUACAUCAAGUGAUGAAAAACACCCCCCUGAAAAUAUAAUUGAUGGGAAUCCAGAAACAUUUUGGACCACCACAGGAAUGUUUCCCCAAGAGUUCAUUGUUUGUUUUCACAAACGUGUGAAGAUUGAAAGGCUUGUAAUCCGUAGUUACUAUGUGCGGACCUUGAAGAUUGAAAAAAGCACCUCUAAAGAGCCAGUUGAUUUUGAGCAGUGGAUUGAAAGAGAUCUAGUACACACAGAGGGGCAACUUCAAAAUGAAGAGAUUAUGGUGGCUUCAGGAGAAUGGAGAAUGUCCCCAGAGGGCUCAGGUUAAUAACUCAAAAUUGCAGAGAAGAUGGAGCUGAAGGGGAAACCAGGCAAGACACAGCACAGGAGACUGCUGGAGGUGCAAUGGAAUGUCAUGGAGAUACAAAGCAAGGAUGGUGGAUAUUUGUUACAAUUUUGGCUGGCGAACUCCUAACCCUCCUUCCUACUUGGAAUUCACUAUUUUGUGUAAUAGCGAUGAUUGUGUAAUGUCGCCCUAUGGAAGACAGAGAGGCCAGGUCCAUUCUCUGUCCCCAGCAGCCAGGACACAGGCAGUGACCCAGGCUGGCUGAUUAGACCCUCCCACCCUCCCACCUAGAUCUUUGAUUUUGGAGUCAUGGAGAUGGCAGAAUUAAUCCACAGCCCUCUCAGGGAUGGCGGAGUCCUACAGCAAUGAUGAGUUCCCAUGGCAACCAAAGUGACAGCAGCAUCCGGGCCUAACUGUUGAUGCUAAAGGACAGUCCAGGCCCAGUGCUCCAGCUGUGGUUGAUUCUGGCGAUCCUGCAACACCUUUCUAAUAUGUCCUUUUGUAUAUGUAUGUGUGUAACAAAACUAGAAUGAGUUUAUGUUGCUUGCAAGCCAGAACCCUGACUGCUACAGUAGGGCUGUAUAAUGAAAAAUGAUCGUGUUUACACAGAUCACUUUGGCUACUCUAUGGGGAGAAGACUGAGGGUAAGAAUGGCAGUGGGGGAGAUGCAGUGAAGGGACGUGGGAGAAAUCCACAUGAGAGGUAAUGGGAGCGUGGGCUGGUGUGUGGGCAGUGGAGAAGGAAAAGCUGGAAUCCACAGGACUUGCUGAUUGAAGGGGAGUACAGGGCAUCUUAACUUGCUUGUGGUUUAUUUUUGGUUGGUUAUUCCCUCACCUACUUCUGAAAAGGAUUUGAUGCAGUUUACACAUAUAAUAAAAUACUAAAUAGAUAUUUUUAAAACAAAUCAUGCCCCUCUGGGAGGCAUAGAAAAGGAAGGAAAUGUAAAACAAAUAAAAAGGCCUUCAGGACCCUGCAUUUGUUAUAACUGAGCUAAUAGGACUCUGAGUGUCCUGGUGGACAAGUAAAAGGAGAAAGAAUUGGUUGUAUUUUCCUCAUUUUUCAGUACAUGAGAAGAAGCAGGCUGGUUUCCCUGGAGAUACAAAGUUCUCCUGUCCUUGGCUCAUAGAUUUUUCUCAUAGGAGGCCCUAGAGGGCACUGAGUGGGGCUCAGUCCCUGCUGGUUGAUUGCACAAGUCCUCACCCAUGUGACAGGGUUGCACAGGCCUUAGCAGGAGAGGCUUAAAGACGAGUUGUGGCCAAGUGGCUGGCCAUUGGCCUGCAAUGACCCCAGGGAGUCACCUUUUAAAGAAGACCUCAAAAGACUUAAGGUCAGGACCAGUGUUAAAUAUUAGCUGUCGGGAAUUUGUCUUUACAUGGAAAAAAAAAGAUUCACACAUACUGAUUAGGACCUUAAAAGAGACAGAGCCAUUUGUUUAUUUGUAGUGUGUAGAGUGCAGUGAUCAGUACUGAGGGCAAAGUUUAAACUCAGUUCCCUGCUUUCCUGGUAGCAGAGAGAGGAAAGAUAGGUGCAAGGGGUGGCAGUGCUGACACCUUGCCCGUGUCCCCAGGCCAUGGUGCAGAGAACACCAUUUUUUCCAAGAAUGUUGGGCAAGGAAUGUCAAGUCCAACUCGUCUGUACAAAUGGAAAAAACAGCUCUAUAAUAGCACUGGGUUCGACAAAUGGAAAAAACAGCUCUGUAAUAGCACUGGGUUCGAACCCACCAUCAUGACCCCCGGACCAGUAAAUUAACCCCCAUAUCAGGCUCUCUCACAGAGAAAGCCCAUUUAUAAUUACUACAUGACAUAAGUAGGCUUGGAGAGAUUUUAGAAGAUAUUAAACAAGGGCUGAAAUAAAUCUGGUUUCAGAUAAACGCUUAGGUACCUAUAAAAUAAAUCAUUAGACUUGCCUUCUACCACAGUACAUCAGUUAAUCAAUGUUUGCUGUGUGUAUCCGAGAACAUGUGUGUAUCAUGUGUGCGAAUGUACAUGCAGAGAAUAGGAGGUGGCUGAGAAUUUCUCUGAGCCUCUGUUGUCUUACCCAAUAACAGAAAGUGUACUAGCUGAGAGUCAGAAGGCAUAAAUUCUAGUUCUGACUCUCUAAGAAUUUGCUGUGUGACUCUGAGCAAGUAAUUGACCUCUCUCUCUAGGCCUUUGCAUCUAAAAAAAUGAAACAGUUGCUUUAGGUUGUCCAUAAAGAAUCUUCCAGACCUUUUAGACUGUGGCUCUAAAAUGAGUUCAAUUUUAUACCCAAAGCAUACAAGCAGAGCUUUUGAGUGGCCUAAUGGGUUCAAAAGCAGUUCCAGGAUAUCAUUCUCAUAAGCAGCAGCCCUGAUCAUGUCAACUCCUUGCUUGAAAAUCUCCUUAGAACUUACCCGUACCCUCAGAUAAAGCCUACUCUUCAGUAAGACACAUAAGGCCUCCCAAACUCUGGUCCCUGAUGGUGUCUCCAGCCUCAUCCUUCACCCAUUCCUGUCUCCCACACCCCACUUCUGCCAAACUGACCCAUGUUCCCUGUCUUGGACCUCUCCUACUCCUCCCCUAUGUCCUGCUCUGCUCCUGCUCCCCCUUCCCCAGCCCCCCUAAGGCUUCACUGUCCCUAAAAACUCAGCUCACCACCCUCUUCUCCAGGAAGCCUUCCUCUGACCACCUCCCUACCCCACCCCACUUCUUCUAGAGCCCCCUGACUCCCUCUCUCACUACACCAUCUCCCUCUUUGUGUUAUGUGAUCUUCUGGGGCAGAGACCAGGUGUGCUGAUUUCUGUACCACCAGCACCUAUUACUUCAGUGGACUCUAAGUCAAUGUGCUGAAAACCAACUCUAUUUCAUAAACAGAGUUUUCUUUUGCAUCUCGGGCUCCUUCUCUCUUCUUUCUUCAGUCUCAGGUGCAACAGCAGGGAACAGAAACCAACAGAACAGUCUUUAAAAUGUAAAUUGGUUCACUGAAAGUAAACAAUUAAAAGAAGCAAGUAAAUUCUGUGAAUUGACCAUGAUGCAAGUUGGCCUUCAUGGAACUGAUUGCUAGAUGAUUGAUAUUCAGCCAGUUGGCCUGGUUGUCACAGUCCUUGAAACAUAGUGGAUGCACAAUAAAAGUUAUUUGUUAUUCUCA